rnacentral:tRNA from 1 species
GGCCUCUUAGCUCAGCCUGGUAGAGCAUCGGGCUUUUAACCCGAGUGUCGUGGGUUCGAAUCCCACAGAGGUCA